rnacentral:rRNA from 1 species
UACAGAGGGUGCAAGCGUUAAUCGGAAUUACUGGGCGUAAAGCGUGCGUAGACGGUUAUUUAAGUCAGGUGUGAAAGCCCAGGGCUCAACCUUGGAAUUGCAUUUGAGACUGAAUAGCUAGGGUGCGGAAGAGGGAAGCGGCAUUUCCGGUGUAGCGGUGAAAUGCGUAGAUAUCGGAAGGAACACCAGUGGCGAAAGCGGCUUCCUGGUCCAGCACCGACGUUCAGGCACGAAAGCGUGGGGAGCAAACAGG